rnacentral:rRNA from 1 species
AUUGAACGCUGGCGGCAUGCCUUACACAUGCAAGUCGAACGGCAGCACGGGUGCUUGCACCUGGUGGCGAGUGGCGAACGGGUGAGUAAUACAUCGGAACGUACCUUAUCGUGGGGGAUAACGCAGCGAGAGCUGUGCUAAUACCGCAUACGCCCUGAGGGGGAAAGCGGGGGAUCGAAAGACCUCGCGCGAUUAGAGCGGCCGAUGCCUGAUUAGCUUGUUGGUGGGGUAAAAGCCCACCAAGGCGACGAUCAGUAGCUGGUCUGAGAGGACGAUCCGCCACACGGGGACUGGGACACGGCCCAGACUCCUACGGGAGGCAGCAGUGGGGAAUUUUGGACAAUGGGGGCAACCCUGAUCCAGCAAUGCCGCGUGAGUGAAGAAGGCCUUCGGGUUGUAAAGCUCUUUUGUCAGGGAAGAAACACCGGCUCUAACACAGUCCGGGAAUGACGGUACCUGAAGAAUAAGCACCGGCUAACUACGUGCCAGCAGCCGCAGUAA